AAUUCAAUAACCUUUCUGUUGCAAAAAAAGGGGCCAAACUCAAUCAAUAAUGAGUUGUUUUACAGAGAAAAUCAAAUCUGACAAAGGCACAAUCAUUAUAAAACCAGACUAUUUCAUACCAUAAGACUUCAUGAUGACAUGUCUUUAGGUGUCUAAAAAUUACAGUUACAAAAACAACCACACUUAAAUAACUUACAACUCGAAUUCUUUUGCCCAUAGCUGAACCUGGUAGAUUUUUCUUGAACUUUGCUCUAACAGCACCACUGCUACCAUGUGAUCUGGUGAUCUUACCCCAGAUUACACGUAGUCUGCUAGCUUCCUUGUGACCUGGACAUGC